UACGGAGGAUGCGAGCGUUAUCCGGAUUUAUUGGGUUUAAAGGGUGCGCAGGCGGGAAAUUAAGUCAGUGGUGAAAUCUGGACGCUCAACGUUCAAAUUGCCAUUGAAACUGGUUUUCUUGAGUGUAGUUGAAGUAGGCGGAAUUCGUUGUGUAGCGGUGAAAUGCAUAGAUAUAACGAGGAACCCCGAUUGCGUAGGCAGCUUACUAAGCUACAACUGACGCUCAUGCACGAAAGUGUGGGUAUCGAACAGG
rnacentral:rRNA from 1 species